UAGGGAAUCUUCGGCAAUGGGGGGAACCCUGACCGAGCAACGCCGCGUGAGUGAAGAAGGUUUUCGGAUCGUAAAGCUCUGUUGUUAAGGAAGAACGAGUGUGAGAAUGGAAAGUUCAUGCUGUGACGGUACUUAACCAGAAAGGGACGGCUAACUACGUGCCAGCAGCCGCGGUAAUACGUAGGUCCCGAGCGUUGGCCGGAUUUAUUGGGCGUAAAGCGAGCGCAGGCGGUUAGAAAAGUCUGAAGUGAAAGGCAGUGGCUCAACAAUUGUAGGCUUUGGAAACUGUUUAACUUGAGUGCAGAAGGGGAGAGUGGAAUUCCAUGUGUAGCGGUGAAAUGCGUAGAUAUAUGGAGGAACACCGGUGGCGAAAGCGGCUCUCUGGUCUGUAACUGACGCUGAGGCUCGAAAGCGUGGGGAGCGAACAGG
rnacentral:rRNA from 1 species